AGGCAGCAGUGGGGAAUAUUGCACAAUGGACGGAAGUCUGAUGCAGCAACGCCGCGUGCGGGAUGACGGCCUUCGGGUUGUAAACCGCUUUCAUCCAUGACGAAGCGAGAGUGACGGUAGUGGGAGAAGAAGCACCGGCUAACUACGUGCCAGCAGCCGCGGUGAUACGUAGGGUGCGAGCGUUGUCCGGAUUUAUUGGGCGUAAAGAGCUUGUAGGCGGUUUGUUGCGUCGGAAGUGAAAACUCAGGGCUUAACUCUGAGCCUGCUUUCGAUACGGGCAGACUUGAGGAAGGUAGGGGAGAAUGGAAUUCCUGGUGAAGCGGUGGAAUGCGUAGAUAUCAGGAGGAACACNCGGUGGCGAAGGCGGUUCUCUGGACCUUUCCUGACGCUGAGAAGCGAAAGCGUGGGGAGCAAACAGGCUUAGAUACCCUGGUAGUCCACGCCGUAAACGGUGGGUACUAGGUGUGGGGGACAUUCCACGUUCUCCGUGCCGU
rnacentral:rRNA from 1 species